rnacentral:tRNA from 2 species
GGGCCCGUGGCUCAACGGUAGAGCACCUCCAUGGCAUGGAGGGGGUUGAGAGUUCGAAUCUCUUCGGGUCCACUA